rnacentral:rRNA from 1 species
CAGCAGUGGGGAAUAUUGCACAAUGGGCGCAAGCCUGAUGCAGCCAUGCCGCGUGUGUGAAGAAGGCCUUCGGGUUGUAAAGCACUUUCAGUUGUGAGGAAGGUGGUGUCGUUAAUAGCGGCAUCAUUUGACGUUAGCAACAGAAGAAGCACCGGCUAACUCCGUGCCAGCAGCCGCGGUAAUACGGAGGGUGCGAGCGUUAAUCGGAAUUACUGGGCGUAAAGCGCAUGCAGGUGGUUUGUUAAGUCAGAUGUGAAAGCCCGGGGCUCAACCUCGGAACUGCAUUUGAAACUGGCAGACUAGAGUACUGUAGAGGGGGUAGAAUUUCAGGUGUAGCGGUGAAAAUGCGUAGAGAUCUGAAGGAAUACCGGUGGCGAAGGCGGCCCCCUGGACAGAUACUGACACUCAGAUGCGAAAGCGUGGGGAGCAAACAGGAUUAGAUACCCUGGUAG